GACGAACCGUGCAAACGUUAUUCGGAAUCACUGGGCUUAAAGGGCGCGUAGGCGGGCCGCCAGGUCCGGGGUGAAAGCCUCCAGCUCAACUGGAGAAGUGCCUUGGAUACCGGCGGCCUCGAGGGAGGCAGGGCGUGCGGAACUUCGGGUGGAGCGGUGAAAUGCGUAGAUAUCCGAAGGAACACCGGUGGCGAAGGCGGCAUCCUGGACCAAUUCUGACACUGAGGAGCGAAGCCAGG
rnacentral:rRNA from 1 species